AGUGAACGCUGGCGGUAGGCCUAACACAUGCAAGUCGAACGGCAGCACAGUGAGAGCUUGCUCUUACGGGUGGCGAGUGGCGGACGGGUGAGGAAUACAUCGGAAUCUACUUUUUCGUGGGGGAUAACGUAGGGAAACUUACGCUAAUACCGCAUACGACCUACGGGUGAAAGCAGGGGAUCUUCGGACCUUGCGCGAUUGAAUGAGCCGAUGUCGGAUUAGCUAGUUGGCGGGGUAAAGGCCCACCAAGGCGACGAUCCGUAGCUGGUCUGAGAGGAUGAUCAGCCACACUGGAACUGAGAUACGGUCCAGACUCCUACGGGAGGCAGCAGUGGGGAAUAUUGGACAAUGGGCGCAAGCCUGAUCCAGCCAUACCGCGUGGGUGAAGAAGGCCUUCGGGUUGUAAAGCCCUUUUGUUGGGAAAGAAAAGCAGCAGGUUAAUACCCCGCUGUUCUGACGGUACCCAAAGAAUAAGCACCGGCUAACUUCGUG
rnacentral:rRNA from 1 species